AAUCCAUUGGCCUAAGGUUUCAGAAUGCUGAGACAUUCUGCAGCUUAGUAAUGUCUGUUCUUUCCGAAGCAGAUAAUAUACUUCGGGGACUUUUGGGGCUAUCAUCCUUCAGUUACAAGAAAGAAGCAGUACUAGAACUGAAGGAUACCCCACAAUGGGUUAAUGUGAAACCUCUCAUCAAAUCAUACUUGAGAAGUACAUUAUCUCUGUUGGAUCAGGUUACUGAUUCAGAAAUUCUGGCUUUCGCUUUGACUCGGCUCAGGGAUUCUUUACCAUUCUUUGAUGCUUUUCCAUAUCUCUUGCAGAGGCUUAUUAAGACGACAAUACAUUUGUGGGCUA
rnacentral:misc_RNA from 1 species